rnacentral:rRNA from 1 species
GACGUAGGGCGCGAGCGUUGUCCGGAUUUAUUGGGCGUAAAGAGCUCGUAGGCGGCUUGUCGCGUCGACCGUGAAAACUUGGGGCUCAACCCCAAGCCUGCGGUCGAUACGGGCAGGCUCGAGUUCGGUAGGGGAGACUGGAAUUCCUGGUGUAGCGGUGAAAUGCGCAGAUAUCAGGAGGAACACCGAUGGCGAAGGCAGGUCUCUGGGCCGUAACUGACGCUGAGGAGCGAAAGCGUGGGGAGCGAACAGG